rnacentral:piRNA from 1 species
UAAUCCAAGAAAGAGCAAUUGUAGAAUC